rnacentral:rRNA from 1 species
UACGGAGGAUGCGAGCGUUAUCCGGAUUUAUUGGGUUUAAAGGGUGCGUAGGCGGACGCUUAAGUCAGCGGUAAAAUUGCGGGGCUCAACCUCGUCGAGCCGUUGAAACUGGGUGCCUUGAGUGGGCGAGAAGUACGCGGAAUGCGUGGUGUAGCGGUGAAAUGCAUAGAUAUCACGCAGAACUCCGAUUGCGAAGGCAGCGUACCGGCGCCACACUGACGCUGAGGCACGAAAGCGUGGGGAUCGAACAGG